GUCCCUGUAGCGCAAUGGAUAACACGUUGGUCUUCUAAUCCAAAGGUUGUGGGUUCGAGUCCCAUCUGGGAUG
rnacentral:tRNA from 1 species